AGUGAACGCUGGCGGUAGGCCUAACACAUGCAAGUCGAACGGCAGCACAGGAGAGCUUGCUCUCUGGGUGGCGAGUGGCGGACUGGUGAGGAAUACAUCGGAAUCUACUCUGUCGUGGGGGAUAACGUAGGGAAACUUACGCUAAUACCGCAUACGACCUACGGGUGAAAGCAGGGGACCUUCGGGCCUUGCGCGAUUGAAUGAGCCGAUGUCGGAUUAGCUAGUUGGCGGGGUAAAGGCCCACCAAGGCGACGAUCCGUAGCUGGUCUGAGAGGAUGAUCAGCCACACUGGAACUGAGACACGGUCCAGACUCCUACGGGAGGCAGCAGUGGGGAAUAUUGGACAAUGGGCGCAAGCCUGAUCCAGCCAUACCGCGUGGGUGAAGAAGGCCUUCGGGUUGUAAAGCCCUUUUGUUGGGAAAGAAAUCCAGCUGGCUAAUACCCGGUUGGGAUGACGGUACCCAAAGAAUAAGCACCGGCUAACUUCGUGCCAGCAGCCGCCGUAAUAC
rnacentral:rRNA from 1 species